GCCACACAUCCGUCAGACAUCCAACAGACAGCCAUCAAACACAAUACGCUUCUUUCACCAUUAUAUUUGUGCUGAUUAAUCACUGAUUGAAUCUUACCCACCAUCCUGAUAAUAUAAAGUGGCAACAUGUGCAAACUCACUCUAACUGCAGGUCUCUGUUUGAUCAUCGCCAGCUUGGGUUAUCCUGGCCUCACAGAUACAGCUGCAGUGCUGCCAAACCCCUGUAAUGGAAGGAUCAGUGGGCUAUACCCCAACCCUGCUGACCCACAUUCUUUUUACAAUUGUGGUAAUGGAAUAGCCUACCUCCAAAACUGCCCAUCAAAUCUGGUCUUUGACCCAACAUGCAGCUGCUGUAACUAUCCCACAACCAAUCCACCACCAAUCAAUAACUUCUGUAAUGGAAAGAGCAAUGGGCAAUACACUAACCGUGCUGACCCAUCUUCUUUUUACAAUUGUUGGGAUGGAAGAACCUACCUCCAAACCUGCCCAUCAAAUCUGGUCUUCAACCAAAAAUGCAGCUGCUGUAGCUAUUCCCAAAAAAAGCAGUGAGCCACCAAAGCAUGUGGAACUUCUGUGAUGGAAAGAAAGAGAAUUUAUGUAGUUAAAACUUGUGGACAGGAAUAGUUUCUCUGUCUAUAAUGUGGCAAUACAUAUUCAUAUUAACACAAAGGAGACAUUGUCAAAGGUGUUAUAUAUUUUCUUCGGAUUUUUCACUUCUCAGUUAUAUGUUGAAAAUAGGGGUGUAACGCUAUACACAAUUCACGGUAUCUCACUAUAUCGUAUGGGUGUGUUCUCAUUUGUUUAUUUUUAACCACUGCAUGAUUGAAUUUGUCUUACAUUAUGACACAGAUGUUGCAUAUUUCAUACAUGUAUAUGCUGUGUGUCUAAAUGUAAAUACAUACUACAAAAAUGAAUAAGUUGAUAAAAAUGAAAUGAUCAAUCAAUAAAAUACUUUAAGAUUCCCAGAUA